rnacentral:rRNA from 1 species
AGUGAACGCUGGCGGUAGGCCUAACACAUGCAAGUCGAACGGCAGCACAGUAAGAGCUUGCUCUUACGGGUGGCGAGUGGCGGACGGGUGAGGAAUACAUCGGAAUCUACUUUUUCGUGGGGGAUAACGUAGGGAAACUUACGCUAAUACCGCAUACGACCUACGGGUGAAAGCAGGGGAUCUUCGGACCUUGCGCGAUUGAAUGAGCCGAUGUCGGAUUAGCUAGUUGGCGGGGUAAAGGCCCACCAAGGCGACGAUCCGUAGCUGGUCUGAGAGGAUGAUCAGCCACACUGGAACUGAGACACGGUCCAGACUCCUACGGGAGGCAGCAGUAGGGAAUAUUGGACAAUGGGCGCAAGCCUGAUCCAGCCAUACCGCGUGGGUGAAGAAGGCCUUCGGGUUGUAAAGCCCUUUUGUUGGGAAAGAAAAGCAGCAGGUGAAUACCCCGCUGUUCUGACGGUACCCAAAGAAUAAGCACCGGCUAACUUCGUG